AAAGCGCACGCAGGCGGUUUGUUAAGCUAGAUGUGAAAGCCCUGGGCUCAACCUGGGAAUUGCAUUUAGAACUGGCAGGCUAGAGUUUUGGAGAGGGGAGUGGAAUUCCAGGUGUAGCGGUGAAAUGCGUAGAUAUCUGGAGGAACAUCAGUGGCGAAGGCGACUCCCUGGUCAGUAACUGACGCUCAUGUGCGAAAGUGUGGGUAGCGAACAGGAUUAGAUACCCUGGUAGUCCACACCGUAAACGCUGUCUACUAGCUGUUUGUGGAUUUAAUCCGUGAGUAGCGAAGCUAACGCGAUAAGUAGACCGCCUGGGGAGUACGGCCGCAAGGUUAAAGCUCAAAUGAAUUGACGGGGGCCCGCACAAGCGGUGGAGCAUGUGGUUUAAUUCGAUGCAACGCGAAGAACCUUACCUACUCUUGACAUACUGAGAACUUAGCAGAGAUGCUUUGGUGCCUUCGGGAACUCAGAUACAGGUGCUGCAUGGCUGUCGUCAGCUCGUGUCGUGAGAUGUUGGGUUAAGUCCCGCA
rnacentral:rRNA from 1 species